rnacentral:rRNA from 1 species
GUGAGGAAUUUUCCGCAAUGGGCGAAAGCCUGACGGAGCAAUGCCGCGUGAAGGAUGAAGGCCUAUGGGUUGUAAACUUCUUUUCUUAGAGAAGAAUAUUGACGGUAUCUGAGGAAUAAGCAUCGGCUAACUCUGUGCCAGCAGCCGCGGUAAGACAGAGGAUGCAAGCGUUAUCCGGAAUGAGUGGGCGUAAAGCGUCUGUAGGUGGCUUCAAAAGUCUCCUGUAAAAGAUCAGGGCUUAACCCUGGGCCGGCAGGAGAAACUCUGAGGCUAGAGUUUGGUAGGGGCAGAGGGAAUUCCCGGUGGAGCGGUGAAAUGCGUAGAGAUCGGGAGGAACACCAAAGGCGAAAGCACUCUGCUGGGCCACAACUGACACUGAGAGACGAAAGCGAGGGGAGCAAAAGGGAUUAGAAACCCCUGUAGUCC